AUUGAACGCUGGCGGAAUGCUUUACACAUGCAAGUCGAACGGCAGCACGGGAGCUUGCUCCUGGUGGCGAGUGGCGAACGGGUGAGUAAUAUAUCGGAACGUACCCCGUCGUGGGGGAUAACUCUCCGAAAGGAGUGCUAAUACCGCAUACGACCUGAGGGUGAAAGCGGGGGACCUGCAAGGGCCUCGCGCGAUGGGAGCGGCCGAUAUCGGAUUAGCUAGUUGGUGAGGUAAAGGCUCACCAAGGCGACGAUCCGUAGCGGGUCUGAGAGGACGACCCGCCACACUGGAACUGAGACACGGUCCAGACUCCUACGGGAGGCAGCAGUGGGGAAUUUUGGACAAUGGGGGAAACCCUGAUCCAGCCAUUCCGCGUGAGUGAAGAAGGCCUCGGUUGUAAG
rnacentral:rRNA from 1 species